AUCCUUUUUCAGUUCAUAAGCGUGAUGAUUGGAUUUUCAUGUGCAUAUGUGAGAUGUGCCUCCCUCAAAACUUGUUACAACAUUGGCACAUUUCCUGUCUGAAA
rnacentral:snoRNA from 1 species